CCUACGGGAGACAGCAGUAGGGAAUCUUCCACAAUGGGCGAAAGCCUGAUGGAGCAACGCCGCGUGGGUGAAGAAGGUCUUCGGAUCGUAAAACCCUGUUGUUAGAGAAGAAAGUGCGUGAGAGUAACUGUUCACGUUUCGACGGUAUCUAACCAGAAAGCCACGGCUAACUACGUGCCAGCAGCCGCGGUAAUACGUAGGUGGCAAGCGUUAUCCGGAUUUAUUGGGCGUAAGGGGAACGCAGGCGGUCUUUUAAGUCUGAUGUGAAAUCCUUCGGCUUAACCGGAGUAGUGCAUUGGAAACUGGGAGACUUGAGUGCAGAAGAGGAGAGUGGAACUCCAUGUGUAGCGGUGAAAUGCGUAGAUAUAUGGAAGAACACCAGUGGCGAAAGCGGCUCUCUGGUCUGUAACUGACGCUGAGGUUCGAAAGCGUGGGUAGCAAACAGGAUUAGAUACCCGAGUAGUC
rnacentral:rRNA from 1 species